AGCCUUUCCCCUGAAGGAAGAAAAGAGAAUCAUGUACAACCCUGUCUUGGUUCUGAAUCAAGGGGUUGAAGACUAGAGACUAGGCUUUCCUUAAGAGGAGGCAAUCUCUCUACUGCUUCUGACUUGUUUCUAGGUUUCCUGGAAGGGAACACACUCAAGGCCAAUGUGACCAAGUGAACAGUCACAUCUCCUCAAAGGCCACCCAGCCUGCCCAGUCUACACCAGCUGACAAGCCCAGGGUGAUCUCUACACAUUUUUCAGAGUCCUGUGAAACAUGCAGCGGCCCAGACCAGAGGUCAUUUAUCUCUGGAAUCCAUACUAAAGAUGGACUACAGAUGAAGCAGGCGGUAUGGCAGAACAGGAACAAACAAGCAAAGACACAAGCAGGUAGACUGCUCUUUGAGAAGACUUCCUUGGCCUUGGCAUUUGAUGUCAGCAUGCCCACCUGAGAUGACUUCUAGAAGUAGCAUGAGCUUGAGGCCGUUCCUGAAAUCCUCCUCGAUGUUCUCGAUCUGGGUGCCAGCUUUCCGCAGGUGUGAGUUGCACCAGGCAGUGAACGUCUGCAAGGAAAACCAGACUCGGUAAGCACAGGCCAGGCGCCCAGAAGACCUCUUUUUCAUGGACAGCACCUGGAACCUUCUAGAGGGUCUAUGAGAGCCCAUAGCUACCUGGGCCUGCUACGGGAAGCAGAAUUCGAUGUAGAGACGAAUUGGAGACACAGAGACACGGUCUUUCACUAAACUUGGAGCUAGGCUGACAGCCAGCAAGGCCCAGCAACCCUCCCAUCUCCACCCCUACACAUUGCUGGGGUUACAGGUGUGCAGUCAGAACUCAGCUUUCACAUGGAUGCCAGGGAUUUGAACUUGGAUCCUCAUGCCUGCACAUCAAGGGCUCUUAGCCAAUGAUCCACUUCCCCCAACUUAAACUUGAUUGAUUUUGAUGAAGUGCUGAGGACAGAAUCCAGGACCCUGGCACGCCUAGGUAAAGUGUUCUGUCUCUGAGCCACACCCCAGCCCCAUGAAGUCUCUAUUCUAAAGAAGGGUCACAGGUGAUCUUGGAGCAGCCUUUCCUUUUAACUGUCAAGUCCAACAAUGAAGACAAGAACUGUGUAUCCGUCCCCAACUAUCUUACGGCUAGGAACGUAUGUUAAACUAAGCAAAGCAAGCGUCUUCACCAUGAAAAGUCCAUUGCAUGUUCUCUGUAAAAGCCUAAGGGGCUGGGGGUGUGGAGCUAGCACUGAGGGUCACAGGAAAACUACUGGGGCCUGGUCACACACGCUUUAGUGUUGGGUUCACCCAUAAACCCAACUCAACUACUAGCUUGGUGUUUCGUGGGGUCACACCUGCCUUCCCAUUCUGGCAUGCGACGGGUGAAGAAUUCCUCCAAGGACUUACUGGUAAACAACCAUAUUAAGGCUCCAUCUGAUCAAUCCUGAGCUACGCUUCCCAAAAUAGCUUGUUCCCUAAGAGCCCGGGAGCUGUGCAUGACAAGCACCUCCCUGGCAGGGCAGGCCCAACUGUUGCUCAGUUUAUUGUACUUAGCUCAGUCUCUUCCCCAGGAUGAAUGUGAAGCGAAAGAAAAGCACACUGAUGUUCCCCCGCCCCUCUCAGCCCAUCCAGCAACUGCGGAAACAGCUUGCACCACACAGACAACAAAAUAAAUAUUCUUUA